GACGAACGCUGGCGGCGUGCUUAACACAUGCAAGUCGAACGGAAGGCCCCUUCGGGGGUACUCGAGUGGCGAACGGGUGAGUAACACGUGGGUGAUCUGCCCUGAACUCUGGGAUAAGCCUGGGAAACUGGGUCUAAUACCGGAUAUGACCUCGCAUCGCAUGGUGUGGGGUGGAAAGCUUUUGCGGUUUGGGAUGGGCCCGCGGCCUAUCAGCUUGUUGGUGGGGUAAUGGCCUACCAAGGCGACGACGGGUAGCCGACCUGAGAGGGUGAUCGGCCACACUGGGACUGAGACACGGCCCAGACUCCUACGGGAGGCAGCAGUGGGGAAUAUUGCACAAUGGGCGCAAGCCUGAUGCAGCGACGCCGCGUGAGGGAUGACGGCCUUCGGGUUGUAAACCUCUUUCGCCAGGGACGAAGCGCAAGUGACGGUACCUGGAGAAGAAGCACCGGCCAACUACGUG
rnacentral:rRNA from 1 species